UACGAAGGGGGCUAGCGUUGCUCGGAAUUACUGGGCGUAAAGCGCGUGUAGGCGGCUUGGCAAGUCGGGUGUGAAAGCCCUGGGCUCAACCUAGGAAGUGCACUCGAAACUGCUUCGCUUGAGUGUCGGAGAGGAAAGCGGAAUUCUCGGUGUAGAGGUGAAAUUCGUAGAUAUUGGGAAGAACACCGGUGGCGAAGGCGGCUCACUGGCUCGUAACUGACGCUCAUGCACGACAGCGUGGGGAUCAAACAGG
rnacentral:rRNA from 1 species